rnacentral:tRNA from 1 species
UCGUUAGCUCAGUCGGUAGAACAGUUGACUUUUAAAUCAAUGGGUCGCAGGUUCGAGCCGAGCGAAGCGAGACA